rnacentral:lncRNA from 1 species
AUACUUGGGACAUACUGUGAGGAUGUUAUUAGCCAAAUGUCAGAAUUAGCCAAAUGCUUUCACAUCUUCCUGCAAUCUAGUCUUGUGUUUAUGAGAAUCCUUUCUGAAUUCUCUUGACUCACAGUGGACCUUUUUUUCCCUUAGAAAUCAAGUGUAGUUUUCCAACCACUGUAUUAUCUAUUUCAUAGCUGGGGAAACUGCUGAACCUCAGCAAAAUAAAUUGGUGACAGAAGCAAGAACUAAAAAUGAGAUCUCUCUCUGGGCCUCAUAUGCUAUUACAGCAUACAUUGCCUUGAAAACAUUUUUGGUAGCAAUAAAAGUAAAAUGAUUUUGGUGAAAAUGAGUCUAUACUGGAAAAUCAGGUUGAAUUCCCUUUGUUUAUAAGUGUCCUUAGGGAUAUGACCAAGACAAAUUAUUUCCUAUACAGUGAGGAAGGAAACAGAAGUCUAACAUACACUAAUCAAAAUGCUAUCUUCUUAUGUACCAAAUUCCAAUAUUAGAAUAUUAAGACUUUAAUGCCAGUGGCACGACUAUCAUUUUGGUAUUGACUGAUUUGUUUAAUCAACCAAUCUUUAUUUGGUGUCUAUUAUGGGUUACAAACUAUGCGAUAUCCUAAAAAUAACUACAAAUUAAGGGCUUAAUGCUUAGGUAUUUACUUUUUAAAAAAAUGUUAAGUAUUUGCUUUUUUUCUUUUUUAAUAUCUGUGCAGAAGGAGCACUGGGCUGUGACUCAGGAGAUCUGGGUUGUUUUCCGGCGGAUACAUUAUUCCUUUCUCAAGUGCGGACAAUGACGUCUGCCCUUGCUCCCCUGGGAAGGCCCCCUGGCAGGGUGAGAUGGGUGCUGAAACUGAGUGGCAAGAAAGAGCCAGCCAAUUAAGAGCUUUCCAGGGAAUGGGAAGAAACAGUCAAAAGGUUGGUCAGACUAGUGAGCCAGGGGAGCAGAGAAAACACUUGGGAAUGGAGGCGCAGUGUGGAGGAAGAGCUUCCACAGCAAUGUUUAAGAAAGCAAACGAGUAAAGCAGGGACACAGUUUUAUCUUUAAAACCUCGAACACUGCUAGGCACACAGUGUAUGCUGGAUCAGGAUUUGCUGAAUGAAUGACUGAAUGAACUGAAGGGCAUAACCCAGAAUUAAUACAAUGUCACUGAUUUUUUAGAAGAAUCAUACCGUCUGUUGGGCAGAGAAUGGACUGAAGGGAGGUGGACAGGAAGGAAACAAGGGGACUGAGUAGGAGCCGUGCAAGAAUUUGGGCAGGAAAUGACGGCAGGCUGGCCUGGGGCGGUGGUUGCAGACAGGAUGACACUCGAUGCGUCGCAUACGAAGUGAUUAGUGGCAGAAAGGACUCCUGAGGAAUUCUUGGGUUUUGUCUUAAUCUCCUGGAAGAUGGCAGCGCUUCUGACAGAUGUAGCCAGUAUUGGGCUUGGGUGAGGUACCAAGCAGGGAGGGUUUAGGACUGACCCUGGAGGGCUGUGACUUUAAAAGGUGAGUGUAGAAGAGCCAGCCAGGGGAGUGUGCUGUGGAGGAGCCAGGAAUGGAGACGGUCUGAAGUUGAAGGUAGGCGUCAACCAUGACACACUCUGCAAGUGGUCAAGGUGAAAAGGAGGUGACCAGAUCUGGCAAUGUGGAGGUGACCGGUCACUGUGAGGACAGCAGGCCUGGUGGAGCGGUGGGGAUGCGAUCCCAACUGCAGGAGGCCAAGCAGAGGGUGGAAGGUGGCAAGCUGGAAAGAAUAACUCUAAAAAAUUCUUUGAAGGAGCUCUGCUAUGUAUGGGAAUAGAGCAAUUGGACUGUAGCUAAAUGGGAUGUGGGAUCAAGAGGGUGAUUGUUUCGGUGUGUUUUGUUUUUAAAGAUGAGGAAAUCAUGAAAUGCUUGCUAGGUGACCUAGUCGGAGAGUGGGGAGGAGGAACGGCUAGUACAGGAGAGAGAGGUAAGAAUUAACAGGAACAACAACCUAGUAAAGGUGAGGGGGUUAGACUCAGGGGAGAGGUGGCUCCUCAGCUGGGCAAAGAAAUUUAACCCACCAAGUCCGGAUGGAAGGCUGCCAAUGUGGGCACAGGCACAGGUGGGCUGGCACUUGGUGCAAAGGUGAGAGGGUUCUGGUUUCUUCUGUUUUCAACAGAGUGUGAAGCAAGGGUGUUGCAUGAGUAAGGGGAGGGAAGGAGUGUUGGGGGUUUAGAAAUAGAAAGCAUGGAAUCAUCAUUUACAGAGUGGGAGAAUAAAAUUGUAGGAAAUAUAGGAUUACUGGGCUGGGUUGAGAGUCCAUUUCAUAUGGUUGCGAGACUUUUGGUGGCAUGACACGUAGUCCCAUAUAUGGUGGGGGACAAGGUCAGUGUCAUAAGCUUGAGAGAGGAGGCAAAGGAAGAAGGAGAUGGUUCUCUCUUUAAGAUUUGUGAUGACUACAAGGAACAAUCAGCCAAAAGUCUGCGAGAAUCAAGCUUUACAGGCAAAAUGACCUUACGGAUACCAAUGACCCCAAAACGGAUUUUGGCCAUAGUUUUGGAGUGAGAGAUACACGUGAACCAGCAAACCAUCUCUCCAAGGAGGAUGAGGAAGAUGCUUCGGGUCGAUGAAGGGAAGGAGACAAAUGGAAAGCUAAUGAAACUGAGACUUGCAGGCGUCAUAUAACUCAGUCAAGGCCAAUACGUGGUGAAGCUGGGAUUCAAGCCCAGGCCUGUCUUACUCCAAAGCCAUCUCUUAAUCCCUUAAGCAAUCCUGCAUAGGGGAUACAUGUGCACUGUUCUAAAGACAUUCAGAUGAAUGUCUAAGAAGAUGACCACUCCAGAGCAUGGACAGAUUGAGGUGCAGAGCACACUAAAGCAUCUCGCAGCAGCACUACAUCUGGGACACGAGGUACAGGCUGGAUCUUCUCUAAAAUAAGCUAUCAGGUGCCACUUUACUCAAGCCUCUUCCUUAGCAAUAGCAAGUAUAUCGUACUUGGGAUUAACUCCGGCACAGAAGAGCCUAAAAAACUAAAUUGUGAUUUUGCUACUUGAGAAAUAUUUUAAAACGGAUGAUCUCAGGGUUUCACUAUUGCUUCUUGAAAUGUGAUACUGGAAGAAGACUUCUGAAAAGGGCCUAAACUCUGACAUAGACAUGAUGCACAUACACCAAGAAAAAGGUCAUACUUCUAAAACUGCUCGAAAAUUUCCAUGUGCCGCUCAGCAUUUCAUAGCAGAAGUACAUUCCCCCUCCCCCUCAAAUCCUCACACCCUUAUGGGAAUUUCCCCAAUAGCAGAAGUUUUAUAUAUUUUUCUUUAUUAUAUUUUCUAUGAUGACUAAUGGCCACAGGAUUUAAACUAUUAGCCAAAUAUGACGAGCUGAAUUAAAACAAGAGACUUGGGCUGUGAUGGCCAAAAGCUGCCCUAUACCUAUGCUCUUAUGAGGAUCCUCUGGUCUCUCCAAGUCCCAAAUCUGUGGCCUCUCUGAGAGCCGGCUUGUGUGAGUGUGCUUGGGUCUUAGGAGGGAACUUGCAUGUGCCUCGCCUUGUAUCCCUUCCAACAAUCCUCCCUUCAGAUAUCAGCACUUCCUUUCUAACCUGUAUGUGCUCAUCUUCUUAGACUUAUCAAUUUAACAGGUCCCUGGAAAUGCCACUUGAAACACUGCUGUACUGUCUUGGUUAACUGCUUUUUCUUGUGGUUGUAUGCUACUGAAUGCUAACUGGAUUAUUUAACCCUGAAAAAGAAUUCUGCUGUUCAUGGCUUUAUACCAAGAAGGUUGUACUGGUUCCUCUCAUACUGUAUAACAAGGCCAGUGGUUAUACCACAUCCUUGGUUACGUUGCAAGGAAUGAGAACAAAGGUGUCUCUGCUUGAAACCCUGAGGUUGUUACUUUCCUAAAGUGCUUGGUUUAAUUUUUAAACUGAAGUCUAAAACACAGCACUCAAGAGCUCUUCCACAGAAAAGGAUUUCUCUAUGUUGAUGCUAUUUUAGGAAGGUUUUAGAUAAGGCACUUGACUUGAAUGUGAAGGCUGCUGUCUCUUGUUAUUUUUAUAGGCUUUUGAGAUCAUUUUAGAAGUCUCAAUGAAAGGACUAAGAGAACUGUUUUAGAAAGAAGCCAGGUGGCUUUGCAAAUACAAUCUCAGUAAUAGCAAGAAUGGAAGGCAUGGUGUUUGGAAUGUUCCACUCCCACAUAUGGGCUGGAGCAGUCACAAAAGUCUGAAACAGUCAUAGACUGAUGACCAUCAGAAGAGGGAGCAGAGAAGAAACCAGUAACUGGGAAAUAAUGACCAGUCCCUCUUAAUCUUUCUGUUGUUGUUGCUGCCUUUAUUGGGCUUUUUCUUGAGUACACUGUCAUAAAUAUGCAGCUGGGAUAACAAUGCUUCAGGGAUUUGGUAGGACUCUUAACAAUUCUCCAAAUAUUACUUCAAUAAACAAAGCAAGGCUUUUCAAAAAGUACCAUUACCUACACACAUCUUAGUUUUCUUGCCCAGAGAGAUUCACUCUUAGAUGAGUCCUCCAGCUACUACAGAUUCCAACAGAUGACAGCAGCAGGAUGGAGCAGCAAAUUGUGCUACUUAACCUUAUUCACACAUUAUUUUUCUUCAUCAUUCCAGUUAGAGGACUCAAUAUAUUUGAACAAUUAUUUUUAUCUCUAGUCAGUAUGCAUUAUACGAUGCUCUUCUUCUUCCCCACCCAGGACAACCUAUCAUGCAAAAGUUC